rnacentral:rRNA from 1 species
AAUUCUAGGAGUUAAUCCAUCCCCGAAGCUCCGACCCUCCCGGGGAAGAGCGCGUUUAUCAGCUUAAAAGCCAGACGGGUCGCAAGGCCCCGUGUUCUGGUGUCUGGGUAUAACUAUAGCGGAUCGGGGGCGCGCGCCGUCGACGCAUCUAUCAAGUGUCCGCCCUAUCAAACUUUCGAUGGUAAGUGCUAUGCCUACCAUGGUGAUAACGGGUGACGGGGAAUCAGGGUUCGAUUCCGGAGAGGGAGCAUGAGAAACGGCUACCACAUCCAAGGAAGGCAGCAGGCGCGCAAAUUACCCAAUCUCGACACGAGGAGGUAGUGACGAAAAAUAACGAUGCGGGACUCUUUCGAGGCCCCGCAAUCGGAAUGAGAGCACUUCAAAAACGUGCCCGAGGAUCUAUUGGAGGGCAAGUCUGGUGCCAGCAGCCGCGGUAAUUCCAGCUCCAAUAGCGUAUAUUAAAGUUGUUGUGGUUAAAAAGCUCGUAGUUGGAUCUCGAGGAAGCUCGCGCCGGUCUUCGGAGCCCUUUGUCGGCGCCGUCGCRCCGCGCGAUGUCUCUCCCCCCAUUCCGAGCCGAGCGACUCCGGUGGCGCUUCAAUGCGUGGGCCGGGACUGAGCGGCUGGAAAUUUUACUUUGAAAAAAUUAGAGUGUUCAAAGCAGGCACUGACCGCCUGAAUAGUUGGUGCAUGGAAUAAUGGAAUAGGACCCCGGGUUCCUAUUUGCUGGUUUUUGGGACCCUUCGGGGUAAUGAUUAAGAGGAACGGGGCGGGGGCAUCCGUACUGCGGCGCUAGAGGUGAAAUUCUUGGACCGCCGCAAGACGUCCUACAGCGAAAGCAUUUGCCAAGUAUGUUUUCAUUAAUCAAGAACGAAAGUCAGAGGUUCGAAGACGAUCAGAUACCGUCGUAGUUCUGACCGUAAAUUAUGCCGACUGGCGGCCCGUCGUCGUCGCGAUUUGGACCCGGCGGGAAGCCUCCCGGAAACGAAAGUCUUCGGGUUCCAGGGGUAGUAUGGUGGCAAAGCUGAAACUUAAAGGCAUUGACGGAAGGGCACCACCAGGAGUGGAGCCUGCGGCUUAAUUUGACUCAACACGGGGAAACUCACCGGGUCCGGACACUGGAAGGAUUGACAGAUUGAGAGCUCUUUCUUGAUUCAGUGGGUGGUGGUGCAUGGCCGUUCUUAGUUGGUGGAGUGAUUUGUCUGGUUAAUUCCGAUAACGAACGAGACUCUAGCCUGCUAACUAGUUCGCCGACGGCUUUCGGUUCGGCGCGCGACGCUGUCGGCUUCGGGCGGCAGCCAACUUCUUAGAGGGACGGGUGGCGUUUAGCCACACGAAGUAGAGCAAUAACAGGUCUGUGAUGCCCUUAGAUGUCCCGGGCCGCACGCGCGCUACACUGAAAGAGACACCGUGGAUACCGACCUGCUCCGAGAGGAGUGGGAAACCCGAUGAAUCUCUUUCGUGAUGGGGAUUGGGGCUUGUAAUUCUUCCCCAUGAACGAGGAAUUCCCAGUAGGCGUCGGUCAUCAGCCGGCGCCGAUUACGUCCCUGCCCUUUGUACACACCGCCCGUCGCUACUACCGAUUGAAUGGUUUAGUGAGACCCUCGGACUGGAUCUGUCUGUCCGGUUUCGGCCGGCGGACCGGGGACGGAAAGACGGUCGAACUUGAUCAUUUAGAGGAAGUAAGGUUCCUAUCAGUGAUUCC